GGUUACACAUGUAAUACUAUAAAAAUUUUUUGGUAUUAAUAAAUAAAAAUUUUAAGAAUUUUAAAAUAAUCUUAUUAGGUGAAAUUUUAAGAUUUAAGAUAAUUUAUAUAUAGUUUAUGGUAUUAGUAAACUUUAGAUUUAAACUAGGAUUAGAUACCCUAUUAUUUUUAGUGUAAAUUUUUUAUACCAGAUUAGUAUUAGUUAUAGUCUUGAAAAUUAAAGAGGAUGGCGGUAUUUUAGUCUAUUCAGAGGAACCUGUUCUGUAAUUGAUGAUCCACGAUUUAAAUUACUUAUUUUUAGUUUGCAUAUCGCCGUAGUUUGAAUAUUUUUUAAAAAAAUUAAUAUUCAAGAUUUUUUUUUAAAGAUUAAAUCAGGUCAAGGUGUAGCUUAUAAAUAAGAUGAGAUGGGUUACAAUAAAUUUAUUUAAACGGAUAGAAAAUUUUAAUUUUUUUUUAAGGUGGAUUUGAGAGUAAUUUUAUUUAAAUUAUUAAAAUGAUUUUAGCUCUAAAAUAUGUACAUAU
rnacentral:rRNA from 1 species